AAUUUUGGACAAUGGGGGAAACCGUGACACAGCCAUCCCGCGUGUAUGAUGAAGGCCUUCGGGUAGUAAAGUACUUUUCGCAGAGAAGAAAAGGUACCUCCUAAUACGAGGUACUGCUGACGGUACCUGCAGAAUAAGCACCGGCUAACUCCGUGCCAGCAGCCCCGGUAAUUCGUAGGGUGCAAGCGUUAAUCGGAAUUACUGGGCGUAACGCGUGUGUAGGCGGUUCGGAAAGAAAGAUGUGAAAUCCCAGGGCUCAACCUUGGAACUGCAUUUUUAACUGCCGAGCUAGAGUAUGUCAGAGGGGGGUAGAAUUCCACGUGUAGCAGUGAAAUGCGUAGAUAUGUGGAGGAAUACCGAUGGCGAAGGCAGCCCCCUGGGAUAAUACUGACGCUCAGACACGAAAGCGUGGGGAGCAAACAG
rnacentral:rRNA from 1 species